GGGGGGGGCUAUUGUUGUGGACCACUAUCUUCACCUCAGCCGACCAUAUCCUAAGUUUUGGCCGAGGUAAAUAAAGGUCGGCCAUAGCCGAUCCGAAGGAGUUAAGAAAGCAUGGUCCCAUAUGUGGUAGGUCUUCCCAAUUCAGCAAGAUAAUCAUUUUGGGAAGAUAAUCUUUUCUGUGACUCUAAAAAGUCCAAAUAAGGAAGGAGAUCGCCACAUUUGAAUCAUGCCCUAAAUGAGAAUAAUCGUUGUCAGCAUGAUCCACAUGCAAUAAUCAACAAUCGAUUAGUCUCCUGGGCGUGCAUGACUCUAAUUUCUCUUCUAUAAAUGAAGAAGCACAGAGAUCCUCAAGAUAAGCUCUCAAUUUUUAGCUAACUUGAGUAUCGGAGGGUCUCCAUCAAAAAAUUUUCUGAUCAAAAACUUAUUUUACAGAUCCAGCUCUAGCAUCCAAGGGGCCUCUUUAUCGGCACCUCAUCACCAAUCGAGGAUGCUUCCACUUCAUCUCCAGCUGAGGACUCCUCUACCUCAUCUCCAAUCGAAAAUACUUCCAUCUCAUCUUCAGUCGAAGACAUUUCCAUCUUAUUUCCAGCUGAAGAUACUUCCACCUCAUCUCC
rnacentral:lncRNA from 1 species